rnacentral:rRNA from 1 species
UGCUUAACACAUGCAAGUCGAACGGUAAGGCCCCUUCGGGGGUACACGAGUGGCGAACGGGUGAGUAACACGUGGGUGACCUGCCCUGUACUUCGGGAUAAGCCUGGGAAACUGGGUCUAAUACCGGAUAUGACCUUCCCCUGCAUGGGGGUUGGUGGAAAGCUUUUGCGGUACAGGAUGGGCCCGCGGCCUAUCAGCUUGUUGGUGGGGUAAUGGCCUACCAAGGCGACGACGGGUAGCCGGCCUGAGAGGGCGACCGGCCACACUGGGACUGAGACACGGCCCAGACUCCUACGGGAGGCAGCAGUGGGGAAUAUUGCACAAUGGGCGAAAGCCUGAUGCAGCGACNCCGCGUGAGGGAUGACGGCCUUCGGGUUGUAAACCUCUUUCAGUAGGGACGAAGCGCAAGUGACGGUACCUACAGAAGAAGCACCGGCCAACUACGUGCCAGCAGCCGCGGUAAUAC